CAGUCGCCGCGGUAAUACGUAGGUCCCGAGCGUUGUCCGGAUUUAUUGGGCGUAAAGCGAGCGCAGGCGGUUAGAUAAGUCUGAAGUUAAAGGCUGUGGCUUAACCAUAGUUCGCUUUGGAAAGUGUCAAACUUGAGUGCAGAAGGGGAGAGUGGAAUUCCAUGUGUAGCGGUGAAAUGCGUAGAUAUAUGGAGGAACACCGGUGGCGAAAGCGGCUCUCUGGUCUGUAACUGACGCUGAGGCUCGAAAGCGUGGGGAGCGAACAGGAUUAGAUACCCCCGUAGUCCCUGUCUCUUAUACA
rnacentral:rRNA from 1 species